rnacentral:misc_RNA from 1 species
CGUUAGCUCCGUUAAAGUUUUACCCGAAAUGAAAAAAACUUCCAGUGCCCGGGAAAGUCUUUGCGGAUCAUUUGGAUGAAUUCGCGCGGCGGCAACCGGAUCUAUCUCCUGAAGUUGCUGAUGCAACGCCUCCCAUCCAAGCUCCGCUGCUUGCUGCUCUAUCCGGGAUCUGACUUCCGGAUCUGCUGAAGGCAGCGGCGAUAACCCUUCCAGCAAUGCCUUAAAAUACAGCAUGGUACCGCCCACUAACAGCGGGAUACGCCCCGCAGCGGUGAUCUCCGCCAUUUGCGCUAACGCGUCGCGGCGAAAAUCCGCCGCCGAAUACGCCUGCGACGGGUCGCGUAUAUCCAGCAGUCGAUGCGGCGCCGCUUUCAGCUCAUCGGCAU